GAGUGGACGAACCUCUGGUGUACCGGUUGUGACGCCAGUCGCAUCGCCGGGUAGCUAAGUUCGGAAGAGAUAAACGCUGAAAGCAUCUAAGCGUGAAACUCGCCUGAAGAUGAGACUUCCCUAGGGAUUUAAUCCCUCUAAAGAGACGUUCGAGACCAGGACGUUGAUAGGUCGGGUGUGGAAGAGUGGUAACACUUGCAGCUAACCGAUACUAAUUGCUCGUGAGGCUUGACUCUAU
rnacentral:rRNA from 1 species